rnacentral:rRNA from 1 species
UACGUAGGGGGCAAGCGUUGUCCGGAAUCAUUGGGCGUAAAGAGCGCGUAGGCGGCCCGAUAAGUCCGCUGUGAAAGUCAAGGGCUCAACCCUUGAAUGCCGGUGGAUACUGUCGGGCUAGAGUCCGGAAGAGGCGAGUGGAAUUCCUGGUGUAGCGGUGGAAUGCGCAGAUAUCAGGAGGAACACCGAUGGCGAAGGCAGCUCGCUGGGACGGUACUGACGCUGAGGCGCGAAAGCGUGGGGAGCGAACAGG